rnacentral:rRNA from 1 species
UACAUGGGGUGCAAACGUUGCUCGGAAUUAUUGGGCGUAAAGCGCACGUAGGUGGUCUGUUAUGUCAGAUGUGAAAGCCCUCGGCUUAACUGAGGAAGUGCACCUGAAACUGGCAGGCUUGAGUACGGAAGGGGCAACUGGAAUUCUCGGUGUAGCGGUGAAAUGCGUAGAUAUCGAGAGGAACACCUGCGGCGAAGGCGGGUUGCUGGGCCGACACUGACGCUGAAGCGCGAAAGCUAGGGGAGCGAACGGG